UAGCACACACUUCCGACAACUGCUGUGCCUGUGCAAUGGAAAAUAGCCUUUAAAGGUUUCUUCAUGAACUGAUUGCAUUGGAUGGAUAUUUAAUGCUGUGAAACACGAUAGGAUUAACACAAUGGUGGAUUUUUUGAAUAGAAUUUGUCUUAACAUUCCUCUUUGUGUAGAGGCUUUAUUUUCUCCCUUACAUUUUUUGCUAACCAGCUCAGGUUUUUUUGGUGGACAUGAGUUGAAUCUGAAGAAAUCUGCUCAAGACCGUGUUAUAAGACAGUGCUAGCUAAUGGAGCUGGAAAGAGUGUACUCUGCUGACAGAGCAUCUGCUUGGAUGAUCAGAGUUUUGAGUUAGAGUUGGUGAUCAUCCAUGGCAUUGUCUAGAAGGAAUAAAAUAUCAUGGCCUUAACACAAAAGGUGCUGUGAUAGAAUAUGAAUUGAUUUCAGAGACUGAACCUGAGCACCAUACUGAAGGAGUAGCAGCCAAAUAACUGCCUAGGAUACUGAUGGUUAUGAAGACUGUUUCAAAUGACUGGAUCUUUGAAAGCUUCAGCGUGCCUUAGUUUCUAGGAUCAGCAGUAGUUCUCCUCUCACUUGGCCUUGCAGCUAAAAGGAGAAAUCUCUUAAUUUCUGUGAACACUUACACAUUUCAGUAAUUCUUUUCCCCAAGUAUAACCAUUCAAGGGGGAGCAAAUUUGGAUGGAUUUUACAACUCCAGAGCCAUUGUGAUGAAAGGGUUAUUUCUGUGGUUAUUUAAUAACUGUAGUAGUAAGCAGUGAAUCCUCACACACUUCGACAAUUUCACAUGCACUUGUACCUCAUCAUUUCCCUUUUCGAGAGUAGUUUGUAGCCCGUCCUCCACACCAACCCCAAUAAUCUUAAAAGAAUUAAUCUGAGUAAUCUCAACUGUAGGAAGGGUGCUCUCCCUGAGAAGUUUCUCCCACAAAGCUUCGGUGCUGUUCCUUUAAGGUGGUUUAGAUAGUCAUGAACGCUUUACGCUGGGUGUAGUGAUCAUCUGUUAAGUUUAAGGUCUUUCUCAUUUAAAGAAACAUUCCUCAGUGUAAUAUUUGAGAGGAAUCUUUCCUCUUGCUAGGUUAAAAUUACGGUUUGUACUCUUUGUCCCACUCAUUUAUGAAAAUAGACUUUUAAAACUGUCCAGCACCAAUGGUUUGAAUAUUUCCAUUUACUAUAUGACAUGCUUUCCAUUUUUAUGUCCUAGAAGAGGUUGGAAGUUAGGGAAUACUACUUUUGAGGUUCAACUUCAUUAUCUUCUGCACUGGAAUGUAUUUGGGCCACGAGAACUAGAAGAAAGAACGAGUAUGAAUGUGUUUUUUUUCUAGUGAAUGUAUUUUAACCACAGUGUCCUAAACAGAAUUAGAGAGCAAAAAGUGCAUAUUCAUGAACUUUGUGGUUGGGGAGCAGUUGUAUAUGUUGGUGUAUUCAUGAGUUUGGCAGUGGGGAGGAUCACUGAAGAGAGAUUGCUCAGAGAGUUUUGAAGUUUAAAACAUUUUUGACCACCUUUGGCUUGGGAGGAUGGAGCUCCUUCUAGAACUGGAAGUGAAAUAAACUUUUCAAGCAAUAGCAAUGAGUGGGUCCCACCAACAGUUCCAGGACUUGGAACACUUAAACAGAAGGAAAUGCAGAAGCAGCUUUCUCAGUUGCUUCAUGAACUUCCACAAGGCUGAUUCUGGCUUCAAGAUGGAGCAUUGGAGUUUUGUUUUUUUUAAGAACCUGCAUUUGCGCUUUGUGUGUUUUGUUUUUGUUUUUAUUUGGGGACCUCAUUGGAAAGAGCUUCUGAACUCUUUCCUUUGUGAACUUUGUCCCACUGUGUUCCUGUAAAGUCCUUUUUCUUUCAUAAUGUAAGUUACAUUUUCAUUAAGUCCCAUCACAUCUUCUUUACUGUAAAAAUAUUAAAAGGCUGUUUCCAAAUGGGACAGCUAAAUGAAGUUCUAAUUAUUGCAGACAUAUUUUUGAGAUGUAAAAAAAUUUAAAAUUCAGUAAGUCUUAGAGGCGAGUGAGGAAUAAAAUGGAUGUAAACAUUUACAUGGGAUGCAUUAGAAAUCUGUGUGUAUUGUCUUUUGGUUGAAACAAAUUAUGAACAGUGACUAAUAAUAAAAAGUCAAUACUCAAUGAUUUAAAAUUU
ensembl:lncRNA